rnacentral:rRNA from 1 species
GUGGGGAAUAUUGGGCAAUGGGCGAAAGCCGGACCCAGCAACGCCGCGUGAAGGAAGAAGGUCUUCGGAUCGUAAACUUCUAUCCUUGGUGAAGAUAAUGACGGUAGCCGAGAAGGAAGCCCCGGCUAACUACGUGCCAGCAACCGCGGUAAUACGCAGGGGGCAAGCGUUGUCCGGAAUGAUUGGGCGUAAAGGGCGCGUAGGCGGCCUGGUAAGUCUGGAGUGAAAGUCCGGCUUUUAAGGUGGGACUUGCUUUGGAUACUGUCGGGCUUGAGUGCAGGAGAGGUAAGUGGAAUUCCCGGUGUAGCGGUGAAAUGCGUAGAGAUCGGGAGGAACACCAGUGGCGAAGGCGGCUCACUGGUCCAUUACUGACGCUGAGGUGCGAAAGCGUGGGGAGCAAACAGGAUUAGAUACCCCGGUAGUCC